AUGCCGGGCUGUGGGUUCGACCAAGGAUCUACGGCGAAAGCGGCACCAGCGAUCCCAUGGAGGCGGCACCGAAACCCUAAUGUUCAAGCUGGAGGAUGUGGCGAUGGAAUAUGGUUCAAUGAGAUGAAGAAAGGUGUUGAUGUCAAGUACGAGAAUGAUGGAAGGAUCUUGUGGUUAUCUAGUUGCCCACCAGCAGGAGACAAUGUAGAUGAUGUGCCUCUAGGGCAAAUUCUAGAAAACAAAGCGACUCAUUUUUGCUCUCAAACAAUGAACAUGUUCUUUCCCUAUUUAAUAAGUUAA
rnacentral:rRNA from 1 species